UUGUGGCCUAAUGGUUAGAGCGUCCGCCUCAAAUGCGGGAGGUCGUCGGUUCGAACCCUGGCUGUGUCAU